AGAGUUUGAUCAUGGCUCAGAUUGAACGCUGGCGGAAUGCUUUACACAUGCAAGUCGAACGGCAGCAUAGGUGCUUGCACCUGAUGGCGAGUGGCGAACGGGUGAGUAAUACAUCGGAACGUGCCCAGUCGUGGGGGAUAACGUAGCGAAAGUUACGCUAAUACCGCAUACGAUCUACGGAUGAAAGCGGGGGACCGUAAGGCCUCGCGCGAUUGGAGCGGCCGAUGUUAGAUUAGGUAGUUGGUGGGGUAAAGGCUCACCAAGCCGACGAUCUGUAGCUGGUCUGAGAGGACGACCAGCCACACUGGAACUGAGACACGGUCCAGACUCCUACGGGAGGCAGCAGUGGGGAAUUUUGGACAAUGGACGCAAGUCUGAUCCAGCCAUUCCGCGUGCAGGACGAAGGCCUUCGGGUUGUAAACUGCUUUUGUACAGAACGAAAAGGUUUCUAUUAAUACUAGGAGCUCAUGACGGUACUGUAAGAAUAAGCACCGGCUAACUACGAGCCAGCAGCCGCGGUAAU
rnacentral:rRNA from 1 species